ensembl:lncRNA
AUGCAGUUUGUGUCAUCAGCAUCCAUACCAAUUAUCAGGGACUUUGUUGAAUCACACUUGAAGAAGAAUAGUUGUGUCAUUGAUAGCACAGUUGUCACAUCUUUAUUUGAGGAGUUAAAUGAAUCCAGCCCCAUAAGCAUGGCUUUUGAUAAGGCUGGCCCGCUGUCAUCAGCUUUCAAAAGGAGACGGUACUUUCUACAAAGGUUUAACGUUGUAGAGCCAGUUGAAUAUAUUCUUAAUCCGGAUGAAAAUAAGAGUUUUCAGUAUGUUCCGAUCCUUGAAUCAUUGAAACAAAUUUUAAACAAUGAAGAUAUCAGAGAGAAGUUCCUCACAGAUGAUGGACACACAAGUAUUCCUGCACAGUAUAGAUCAUUCCGUGAUGGUGCCAUUUAUAAAGAGAGUGAUUUUUAUUCUGAAGAGCAGAGAAUCUGUAUAUUCCUUUAUAUAGAUGAUUUUGAGGUAUGCAAUCCCUUAGGUACAUCUCGAAGGAAACAUAAGAUAACAGCCGUGUACUGGAUAUUGGGAAAUAUCCAAUCCUGUUUUCGGUCCACACUAACUUCAGUGUAUCUUGCACUUUUGUGCAAAGCUAAUGAUAUUAAAAGAUUUGGCUAUGCAGAGGUUCUCAAGCCACUCUUGGAUGACAUAGCUAUACUGGAACAAGAUGGUAUUUUGGUUCCUGUCCUUGGUAAAACUGUCAAAGGGACUGUUUACUGUGUAGUUGCUGACAAUCUUGGCGCACAUUCAGUUGCUGGCCUUGUUGAAAGUUUCUCAGGACCAUACAUUUGCAGGUUCUGUCUAGGAGAGCACGUUGACUUUCAAGAAAAGGAAGUGAGAUCAGGUGCUUUUCACAUCCGGACAAAGGAGGAUUAUUCCGUUCAUGUUAAGACUCUACAAGCAAACCCUGCACUACCCCACUGCUUUGGUGUGAAAAGGCCUUGCCCACUGACAGACAAACUAAACCAUUUUCACAUGGUUGAGGGCUAUCCGCCUGAUAUUUUGCACGACCUUUUUGAGGGGAUUAUUCCCAUGGAAUUAGCACUGUGCUUUAGUGAUUUCAUAGCCAAAAAGUACAUCACACUUGACGAGCUUAACAACACAAUCAAAUCAUUUCCUUACAAGUGGGGAGAUAAGACAGACAGUCCACAACCCAUACCCAUUGCAUUAUCCACUCGAAAAAGUAUCGGAGGAAAUGCCCACGAAAAUUGGACCCUCAUCAGACUGCUCCCACUAAUGAUAGGACACAAGAUACCACUGAAUGAUCCUGCAUGGAACGUAAUCAUGUGUCUUAAAGACAUAGUUGAACUUGUGGUAGCACCAACCCAAACGGAACUACAUACUCUAAAGGCAUGA